rnacentral:lncRNA from 1 species
GUCAAAAGAUCAGUUAUGCAAUUACAGCAUCGAGAAAGUUACUAAUGAGUGAGUAGACGUCCAUGUGACUUCUCGUGUUGGUCAUGCUCAGUGCUAGUUGUUCUCUAACAACCACCUGUACUUUCACUCCAGUGUCUCUACACUACAUACUCGAGACCUAUCUAUUUGAAAAAAGCAAUCCAUGCACUGAUCUAUCCAGAUCAAUCCCCAUCCCCACGAUGAUCCUAUGAUCAAGAGCAAUUUAGGAAUCAACCAUCAAUGAUAUAUGCCUUAAAUUCUUAACUCUUUGAGAAUAUGUGUCAUCAUCUUGUUAAUUUCUUGAAUGAUUCAUGGACACAUAGACAUGAAUGGUAAUAUAACUACCCAAUACAUAUAAAAUUAUGUCCUAGAGACAUGAAAUGUGUUAGCCAAGAUUGGCUUCUAGGACAUACAUUCAACAAUCUCUUACUUGCACUAAAGCCAAUCUGCCGUGUACCAAGCCCUAUCUUCAUAAGACAGGCUAUAGUCUUAGGCUAGCCAAGUGAUUUACCAG